CCAGACUCCUACGGGAGGCAGCAGUGGGGGAUAUUGCACAAUGGGGGAAACCCUGAUGCAGCGACGCCGCGUGGGUGAAGGAGCGUUUCGGCGCGUAAAGCCCUAUCGGCAGGGAAGAAGGAGGACGGUACCUGACUAAGAAGCCCCGGCUAACUACGUGCCAGCAGCCGCGGUAAUACGUAGGGGGCGAGCGUUAUCCGGAUUUACUGGGUGUAAAGGGAGCGCAGACGGCAGUGCAAGUCUGGAGUGAAAGCCCGGGGCCCAACCCCGGAACUGCUCUGGAAACUGUGCGGCUAGAGUACUGGAGGGGCAGGCGGAAUUCCUGGUGUAGCGGUGAAAUGCGUAGAUAUCAGGAGGAACACCGGCGGCGAAGGCGGCCUGCUGGACCGCGACUGACGUUGAGGCUCGAAAGCGUGGGGAGCGAACAGGAUUAGAUACCCCAAUACA
rnacentral:rRNA from 1 species